UCUUUGUCCACCUCAAGGAAUCAAGUUUGCCGACCGAAUUGCUUUCUGUUUUUGAAGAAUUGCACUACAACUUUGGCCACUUCAUCACCGUCACCAAGGAUGAAGUCGUAAAUGAUUUGGAGGCUGCCGGAGUGCCGGAUGGAGCUGCGACUGAGACACGUGCUGACCGGGAGACUGCGGGAGCUCAUCGUGGCAUCUAUGCGGAUCUCCCCGGUCCAUCAUCAUUGUUGACCGUGAUGUCGCCGGAUUGAGCAAACAAUGGUGUAAAAAUAAAUCUUGAAUAUUGUGCAACCAUC